GGGGAAUAUUGCGCAAUGGGCGAAAGCCUGACGCAGCGACGCCGCGUGGGGGAUGACGGCCUUCGGGUUGUAAACCUCUUUCAGCAGGGACGAAGCGAAAGUGACGGUACCUGCAGAAGAAGCACCGGCCAACUACGUGCCAGCAGCCGCGGUAAUACGUAGGGUGCAAGCGUUGUCCGGAAUUAUUGGGCGUAAAGAGCUCGUAGGCGGUUUGUUGCGUCGGCUGUGAAAACCUGAGGCUCAACCUCAGGCCUGCAGUCGAUACGAGCAGACUAGAGUGUUGCAGGGGAGACUGGAAUUCCUGGUGUAGCGGUGAAAUGCGCAGAUAUCAGGAGGAACACCGGUGGCGAAGGCGGGUCUCUGGGCAACAACUGACGCUGAGGAGCGAAAGCGUGGGGAGCGAAC
rnacentral:rRNA from 1 species